GCCAGUGUGGCAUAGAGGUUUUGAGCAUUGGACUAUAACUUUGGAGACUAGGGUUUGAAUCCCUGCUUGGCCA